rnacentral:rRNA from 1 species
GAUGAACGCUAGCGGCAGGCCUAAUACAUGCAAGACGAACGGUAAGUUGAGUAGCAAUACUUAGCCAAGAGUGUCGUACGGGUGCGUAACACGUAUGCAACCUACCCUAUACAGGAGGAUAGCCUAGGGAAACCUGGAUUAACCCUUCAUAGUAUUAUUGGAUGGCAUCAUUUGAUAAUUAAAACUGAGGUGGUAUAGGAUGGGCAUGCGUCUGAUUAGUUAGUUGGCGGGGUAAUGGCCCACCAAGACGAUGAUCAGUAGGGGUUCUGAGAGGAAGAUCCCCCACACUGGCACUGAGAUACGGGCCAGACUCCUACGGGAGGCAGCAGUAGGGAAUAUUGGUCAAUGGAUGCAAGUCUGAACCAGCCAUGCCGCGUGCAGGAAGAAGGCCUUCUGGGUUGUAAACUGCUUUUGCCAGGGGAUAAAAUUUCCAUGCGUGGAAACUGAAGGUACCUGGUGAAUAAGCCACGGCUAACUACGUGCCAGCAGCCGCGGUAAU